UAUAUAAAUGACCAGUCUAAAAACUAUUAUCCGGUUUGGACCAGUUUGCAGGUUUCAGGCGGCAUGGCCAAAUAUUCAGGAAUCAUCAUUUUGAGUAAUAUAGGAGUAACACAGCAACGAGCGAUUUUUUACCCUCAACCUUCACCACCUCCUCCACCUACCUUAAACAUCUUGCAAAUAAAAGGGUUCGCUAUCCACAAUAG